rnacentral:lncRNA from 1 species
GGGAAACAGUGAAGAAGAAAGGGACUGGGAAGGCUCCGCUGACCAACUGCUCCUUUCUCUUCCAGCCACUCUCAAGAGAGCUCUAUUACUACUAUCUCACACAGCUGGCCUUCUACUGGUCCCUCGUGUUCUCUCAGUUUAUAGAUGUUAAAAGAAAGGUAAGGACAUCAACCCCUCAGCUGCUUUCUAACAGUUCUGCCACUACCGUCAUGACACUCUCUCCCUCAUUGACAGAAAGUGGGUGUGACAUCACUGUCAUUAGCUUGACGUGGCUAAUGGUGGAGCAUGUAUGAGGUGGUCAGGGCAGCGGCGGAGCAGCCAGGCGGCCAAUAUGCAUGCUCCGUCCUUCUUCGCUCUAGUGGUCCUUUACACCAAAGCUCAGGGAGUCAGUCAGAACUUGGGGCACCAAGGCCUGGUUCGGGGAAAACCUAAUUUUAGAAAAUUAAGAUUCAGGCUGGAGGGGUUGGGGAUUUAGUUCAGUGGUAGAGCGCUUGCCUAGCAAGCCCAAGGCCCUGGGUUCAGUCCCCAGCUCUG